CCCUGUUUUGGAAAGUGACUGUGGGCUGCCUGUGUCCUGGUCAUUUAUUCUGUAGGGAGAGGACACUGAAAGCCGUUCUGGUGUUUGGAAAGUCUGCUCCCGUCCUUGUCAAAGCCUGGCGCUGGAACACA